AACUAACGCUGGCGGCGCGCCUAAUACAUGCAAGUCGAACGAGUAGUAAUACUAGUGGCGCACGGGAGAGUAACACGUAGGUCAUCUUCCUCGGAGAGAAGAAUAACCAGUCGAAAGAUUGGCUAAUACUUCGUAGGACCACAGAGACGAAUGUCUCAGAGGUGAAAGGAGUAAUCCGCUUCGAGAUGAGCCUGCGUCCCAUUAGCUAGUUGGUGAGGUAACGGCUCACCAAGGCAAAGAAGGGUAGCUGGUCUGAGAGGACGGCCAGCCUCACUGGAACUGAAACACGGUCCAGACUCCUACGGGAGGCAGCAGUAGGGAAUAUUGCACAAUGGGCGAAAGCCUGAUGCAGCGACGCCGCGUGAGCGAAGAAGGACUUCGGUUUGUAAAGCUCUGCUCUUAGGGAAUAAGAAAGUGAAUGUACCUAAGGAGAAAGGGACGGCUAACUUCGUG
rnacentral:rRNA from 1 species